rnacentral:rRNA from 1 species
UGGGGAAUAUUGCACAAUGGGCGAAAGCCUGAUGCAGCAACGCCGCGUGAGUGAAGAAGUAUUUCGGUAUGUAAAGCUCUAUCAGCAGGGAAGAAAAUGACGGUACCUGACUAAGAAGCCCCGGCUAACUACGUGCCAGCAGCCGCGGUAAUACGUAGGGGGCAAGCGUUAUCCGGAUUUACUGGGUGUAAAGGGAGCGUAGACGGCGAAGCAAGUCUGAAGUGAAAACCCAGGGCUCAACCCUGGGACUGCUUUGGAAACUGCUUUGCUAGAGUGUCGGAGAGGUGAGUGGAAUUCCUAGUGUAGCGGUGAAAUGCGUAGAUAUUAGGAGGAACACCAGUGGCGAAGGCGACUCACUGGACGAUAACUGACGUUGAGGCUCGAAAGCGUGGGGAGCAAACAGGAUUAGAUACCCCCGUAGUCC